rnacentral:RNase_P_RNA from 1 species
CAAUUCGAGUAAUCGCUGCAGCUCUUGAAGUUGUAGAGGAAAGUCCAUGCUCACACGGAUCUGAGAUGACCGUAGUGUUCGUGCUUACUGAAAAAAUAAGGUAAGGCAAGCUAUAUGCUUGACGGCGGAAGGAUAACCUAAGUCGAUUCGAUAUGGUUAACACUUCCUGAAAGUGCCACAGUGACGGAGCUUUAUUGGAAACAAUAAAGGUGGAACGAGGUAAACCCCACGAGUGAGAAACCCAAAUUAUGGUAGGGGCACUCUCCAGAAGGAAAUGAACGGAUGGAGGGACGUUGGUAUUCCAGCGUAGAUAGAUGGUUACUACCCGAUUCGUACGAGACUUCGGUCGUUUGAGUACCCGGGAACAAAACAUGGCUUAUGAA